rnacentral:lncRNA from 1 species
UCCACUUUCGUACAACCUAUUGUCCUCCGCGCCCUCUCCCAACCGAGGAAUUCUACACUGUCACACUUGCAACAAAUCAAUCAUAUUUUUUCUUUUCAAAUAAAAAUAUAAUAAAAAUAUUUUUUUUAUAAUCAUGAUGAGACAUAUAUCUCUAAAAGAAGUUAUUUGAUUGGUUUGUUACGCCACAUCACCAAUAUACCCGUUGCAUUCUAGAAUUUUUCCUCCCAACCUCCUCUCGCCAUACUUCCCGUACACCGUUCCUACCCUCUUCCUGCACUCUUCCCCAUCCUCUCCUCUUAUUUCUUUUUGGAAAAACUUCAAAAACCCCCAUGUGGUUUUACACUUUUUCAUUUUAGUAUCCUAUGGUUUAAAGUGUAUCAGGUUAGUAUCCUAUAGUUUCGCACUUUUUCACUUUAGUACCCUGUGGUUUAAAGUGUAUCAAGUUAGUACUCUAUGGUUUUAUUUUUGUAUCAAGUUAGUACUCUGUGAUUUUAUUUUUGUAUCAAGUUAGUACCAUGUGGUUAUAUUUUUUCUCUUAAUGAAAUAUUAAACCACAAGGUACUAAAAUAAGAAAGUGCGAAACCACAGGGUACUAACUUGAUACACUUUAAACCACAGGGUACUAAAGUGAGAGAGUGCGAAACCACAGGGUACUAACUUGAUACACUUUAAACCACAGGGUAAUAAAGUGAGAAAGAGUAAAACCACAAGGGGGUUUUAUGAAGUUUUCCCUUUCUUUUUUAUCACUCUCCCAAAUUCCAACCCUAACCCAUUUUCUCCUUUUUAUCCUCUGCCUACUUCCCGUCCCUUCCUCCUCACCCUCUCCGCUGCCUGGCAUGGCGUCCGCCUCCUCAUUGCCGCCUAUGGGCUUAGCUCUUGACUUACAAAGCAUGUAAGGCAAAAUAUUUUCUUUCUUUCUUGGCCAAUUUGCAUAAAAAAUCCACUAGUUUUGCGCUUUUGCAAAAUGGGCCACCUUUUUCGAUUUUGCAGAUUCGGGCCGGAUUUUUAGUAAACUGACCAAAAUAUCCUUAUACCUUUCUCUCUCUCCUUUUUUUUUCUCGCGUUCUUUUUUUUCUCACAGAAGAAGGCGACGGAGGCGAACGCGAAAACGGCCCCCAUCGUUUCCGACACCGUCACCCUCCUCGCUUCCGACACCGUCACCCUCCUCGCCUCCGACACCAUCUCCAUUUAGUGCUAAUCCAUAGAUUCUCCCGUACAUUUCUCGCCCUCCUUGCCUCCGACACCGACGAGGCCGCGCUCGCCGCCGCCCUCC